rnacentral:rRNA from 1 species
CCUACGGGAGGCUGCAGUGGGGAAUAUUGCACAAUGGGGGAAACCCUGAUGCAGCGACGCCGCGUGAGUGAAGAAGUAAUUCGGUAUGUAAAGUUCUAUCAGCAGGGAAGAAAAUGACGGUACCUGAGUAAGAAGCCCCGGCUAACUACGUGCCAGGCGCCGCAGUAAUACGGAGGGGGCAAGCGUUAUCCGGAUUUACUGGGUGUAAAGGGAGCGUAGACGGAAGUGCAAGUCUGGAGUGAAAGGCGGGGGCUCAACCCCCGGACUGCUCUGGAAACUGUACGGCUGGAGUGCAGGAGAGGUAAGUGGAAUUCCUAGUGGAGCGGUGAAAUGCGUAGAUAUUAGGAGGAACACCAGUGGCGAAGGCGGCUUACUGGACUGUAACUGACGUUGAGGCUCGAAAGCGUGGGUAGCGAACAGGAUUAGAUACCCCUGUAGUC